rnacentral:rRNA from 1 species
GAUGAACGCUGGCGGCGUGCCUAAUACAUGCAAGUCGAGCGAACAGAUGAGGAGCUUGCUCCUCUGACGUUAGCGGCGGACGGGUGAGUAACACGUGGAUAACCUACCUAUAAGACUGGGAUAACUUCGGGAAACCGGAGCUAAUACCGGAUAAUAUAUUGAACCGCAUGGUUCAAUAGUGAAAGACGGUUUUGCUGUCACUUAUAGAUGGAUCCGCGCCGCAUUAGCUAGUUGGUAAGGUAACGGCUUACCAAGGCAACGAUGCGUAGCCGACCUGAGAGGAUGAUCGGCCACACUGGAACUGAGACACGGUCCAGACUCCUACGGGAGGCAGCAGUAGGGAAUCUUGCGCAAUGGGCGAAAGCCUGACGGAGCAACGCCGCGUGAGUGAUGAAGGUCUUCGGAUCGUAAAACUCUGUUAUUAGGGAAGAACAAAUGUGUAAGUAACUAUGCACGUCUUGACGGUACCUAAUCAGAAAGCCACGGCUAACUACGUG